UUGCAGUGAGCCAAGAUCACACCACUGCACUCCGGAGCAAGACUCCAUCUCAGAACAAAAUAUAUAGAGAGAGCUCAAAAAAAGGUCAGAGUGUGACCCAAGUGUGCGCUGACCCAUGGUAAAAUGUGGAAGUAAAUGCAUUCGAAUAAAUCCCCUGCCCACCCGCUUUUCUUUUCUUUUUUCUUUUUGGCUGUGGCUUUCCUGAAAUAAAAUGCAGAAAAAUUUCCAGUUGUUGAUAGCUUCCAGUUAGCUGGGCACUGAUUAACUCAAUGGAAAGUGGUGUUAUUCAAACAGAGUUCAAAGCCCAAAGCAAGUAGAAGAGGAUGCCUGUUGCCCUUUUAAAUGUUGCUUUAAUCCUGUUUGAUGCAGGUUGCUCCAUCAGCAUCCUCCAAGUCCUCAUUCAGUCCCCAUCUGGAGUUUGCCCAGCCUGUGCCUCUAGCUAAUACUGUGUGAUCUCAGACCAGUUUUCCAGUUUUGAGAGUUUUGAAAGUCAUGGCGUAAGUCCUGUCCACUCAUCUCUGCCAUCGGGCCCUCCAUCCUCCUGCUCCCCGGCAACAAGGAGCACACACACCCCCACCCCCACCAAUCACCUCCAGGUCCUAGUGCCAAUGCUCUCUAACUCCGCUCUCCCAGGCACCAACCUGGGAGGUCGCCCCUUGAGAGGCAAACAGCACAGUGGGCAUGGCACAGCUGCGUGUGUUCCCGGACCAACUGAGGAUCAGGUGGCAUGUUCUUGUGGCCCCAAAACGAGAUGCAGAUGAACUGGGAGAGGAAGUUAUUAUUUCUGUAGCCAUUUACAGGGAGAAGACCUAGAAAAUAACGCCGGGUCAACUCAAAAUUACCAAGUUUUCCAGAGCUUACAUACCUUCUGAGCUAUCUGUCAUGGGGAUCUCCCAAGACUCCUGGGUCCCUCACAUUCCCCCACAUGAACCUUCAUCGUGUUCAACUUGAACAGGUGCUAUUUCCACACAGUAUCCAGCAUCCCCAACCCCAGACAGAUCCAUUUAUGCAGCUCUGGGCCCUUGUCACCCAUUGUCUUCCUCCCUGGAGGGAAGCACAGUAGAUUCUCAACCUGGAAUGUGCAAGACAGCCACCUGAGGAGGUCUCACGUCGUGCACAGGACACACGGAUUCCGAUUUCAGGUGGGAUCUGGACAUGAAUUUCACAAAGAAAAAGCCCAGCUCUGCCCGGGUGCAGCAAACUACAACAUAAGGGCCCAAUGUGGCCAUGGCCUGCUUUUGUAAAUAAAGUGUGGAGUCUUAAUUAGGGAGAGUCAGGUUGGCAGAAA